rnacentral:rRNA from 1 species
GAUGAACGCUAGCGGCAGGCUUAAUACAUGCAAGUCGUGGGGCAGCAUGAGUAGCAAUACUUGAUGGCGACCGGCAAACGGGUGCGGAACACGUACACAACCUUCCGGUAAGUGGGGAAUAGCCCAGAGAAAUUUGGAUUAAUACCCCGUAACAUAUAGAGUAGGCAUCUUCUUUAUAUUAUAGCUUCGGCGCGUAUUGAAGGGUGUGCGUCUGAUUAGGUAGUUGGCGGGGUAACGGCCCACCAAGACUACGAUCAGUAGCUGAUGUGAGAGCAUGAUCAGCCACACGGGCACUGAGACACGGGCCCGACUCCUACGGGAGGCAGCAGUAAGGAAUAUUGGACAAUGGGCGAAAGCCUGAUCCAGCCAUGCCGCGUGAAGGAUUAAGGUCCUCUGGAUUGUAAACUUCUUUUAUUUGGGACGAAAAAAGGGAAUUCUUUCCCACUUGACGGUACCAAGUGAAUAAGCACCGGCUAACUCCGUGCCAGCCGCCGCGGUAA